GGGGGCGACCUGGCUUCGACGCGGGUAGCAAAACCGGAGGUGCAUGCCGAGGAUGCAGCUAGCCUCGUAAAUAAUGCUGUAAACUAUUAGUUGCCAACGACGACAACUACGCUCUGGCCGCCUAAUUAGGCCAGCCUUUGGCCGGAACUUUCUUGUGAGGUCCGAUUUGCCAGGGGUCAUCUCAACACAAGAUCGCGACCAUCAUUGCCUGCGCUGAUGGCGCUAAAACUUAGCAGGACAGCCAAACAGAACCCUGCCCGUCGGGUUUUGCCUUGGUUAAAUCAAUGACGGUGCUAAGCAUGUAGUACCAAGGGCGGAGAGCUUGCGGACGGGGGUUCGAUUCCCCCCGCCUCCACCA
rnacentral:tmRNA from 1 species